AUUGAACGCUGGCGGCAUGCUUUACACAUGCAAGUCGAACGGCAGCGCGGGCUUCGUCCUGGCUGCUCGUGGCGCACGGGUGAGUAAUGCAUCUGAACGUGCCCAGUAGUGGGGGAUAGCCCGGCGAAAGCCGGAUUAAUACCGCAUACGACCUGAUGGUGCAACCGGGGGACCGAAAGACCUCUCGCUAUUGGGGCGGCCGAUGUCGGAUUAGCUAGUUGGUGGGGUAAAGGCUUACCAAGGCGACGAUCCGUAGCUGGUCUGAGAGGACGACCAGCCACACUGGGACUGAGACACGGCCCAGAGUACUACGGGAGGCAGCAGUGGGGAAUUUUGGACAAUGGGGGCAAACCUGAUCCAGCCAUGCCGCGUGCGGGAAGAAGGCCUUCGGGUUGUAAACCGCUUUUGUUCGGGAAGAAAUCCUCUGGGCUAAUACCCCGGGGGGAUGACGGUACCGGAAGAAUAAGCACCGGCUAACUACGUG
rnacentral:rRNA from 1 species